rnacentral:tRNA from 1 species
GCGCCCUUAGCUCAGCUGGACAGAGCACCGGACUUCUAAUCCGACGGUCGCAGGUUCGAAUCCUGCAGGGCGCGCGA